rnacentral:lncRNA from 1 species
AUGGCCGAAACUUCCGGUUGCAGCCCUGCAUGCAGGAGAGGCCUGAGCAGAAACCAUACAUGGUGGGUGAAGAGAAGCCGGGAGGCCAGCCGAGAUCAGAAGCUCGUUGUACAGACAACUGACUGGCGUGAUUGUAGAACCACAAGGGUGGAGAAGAAAAGCACAGACACACGGACCUUCAUUCAGGAGCCCUUCAGGACACAGGCAGCCGAGUCCCAGCUCGGGCUCAGAGCCUGGCUCAGGUGUGUCCUCUCCCAGACAUUGAGCUACACGGUCACCUCCUGCUCACAGUGCUUGGCUGAGUCAGGAGCUCUGCGUGGGGAACGCUGCGAGGGACGAGGGCCAGGAAGUGGAAGGAAUGGCAGAUGCGGGACUAGGAAACUCACAGGCUUGUAGGAGACGAACUCCAGGAAGGACCCAGGCGUCCCAUCUAAGGAGAUGGCCUCAGGGGAGAUCCAUCUGUGCCUUGGUUCAGGGGACCAUGAGCAGGCCAGGUGAGUCUCCCCAGGUGUGCAGGCUCCAGCCCCGAGAGACAUUGCCCCAGUAUGACCAGCUUUCUGUUGUUGCAGCAAAAUACUGGAAACCCCCGCUUUAGAGCAGGAGAGGUUCAUUCUGGCUCCUGGUACCAGCGGGUUCAGUCCAUGGUCAGCAGGCUCCCAAGUGGAAACAUGGCGAAAGAGCCUGCAGGGGGAAGACCCAAGAGGAAGGGACGAAGGACCAGGGAGAGCCCCCAAGUUCACACCUCUGUGACCCAUUUCCUCCAACUUGGCCCCUCUUCAUAGCGCUUUCUGCUACGAAAUCGUCAUUGGGUCAUCACAGACGAGGUUGGUCCUUCACAUCCAGUCAGCCCUCCAGGCUCUAUCAAGGUAGGCAAGUUGAAACUUGAGAUUAACUGGCAAAUCAGAUGCCACUGCCCAGGGGUCCCCAGAGGGGGUCCCCAGACCCAUGGCGCCAGUGUGCUGGAAACAGUAGGAAGCCCUCGGGAGCCUACUGAUGGGGUGCAGGUGAUUUGGAAGCCUUUAUUUUGGGACUGAGUUUCGUUGAGGCUGGGCUAACACUUGUGAUCUUCCUGCUUCGGCCUCCCAGAAUGCUGGGAUUACAGGCGUGCUCCAUCACCCCAGUUUAAUUCUACUUUCUACCAAAGUGAUGCAUGCAGCUUAUGGGUGAGGUUUCAUGUAUCACUGAGCAGUCCUGAGCCGUCUCUCUUUUCUGCGUCCGGGCCUCGUUCCUCAGGGCUGGCCUCCAGGGCUGUUUGUGUGUGUCCUUCCGGGGAUGCUCACUCAGUGAGCUGUAGUCUCUCCCCUGCUUUAAAAUCACUUAGAGCGUUUUGCAUGUCAUCAGUUCAGGUCUACCACGCCCUUUUUUAUUGGUUUGUAUUUUGCUUUUUUGAGACAGGAUCUUGCUGCAACCCAGGCUGGCCUUAGACUCGUGAGAAUCCUCCUGCCUCAGCCUCCUGAGCAUGAGUGCUGGGAUUACAGGUGAGUGCCAGCUUGCCUGACUGCUGCCUACUUUACAGACUGCAGUGUGGGCUGGAGGAUAUUGUGUAGCAGAUUGAACACACAGCAGAAGGAAUACUUAGCUUGUUUCCCGUCAUCUUCCUGGAUUCUGCGAUGCAGAGUGGGUGUGGUGGGCUGGGUCACCAGGCCCCAGGGGUCACAGGUCACCGGGGUCACAGGUCACAGGGGUUGGCCUUGCACAUUCUUGGCUGCUCCUGUAGACCACCCUCGAGCUAGGCCACCGCUGGUCCUCCUGCAUGGCCCAGACUUGCUGGAGAUUGGCUUCACCAAGUGGACCCCUGCUGUAUGAUGGUGGAUUAAAAGCCCGUGAGACG